GUCGAACGGCAGCACGGGAGCAAUCCUGGUGGCGAGUGGCGAACGGGUGAGUAAUAUAUCGGAACGUGCCCAGUCGUGGGGGAUAACGUAGCGAAAGCUACGCUAAUACCGCAUACGAUCUACGGAUGAAAGCGGGGGACUCGCAAGAGCCUCGCGCGAUUGGAGCGGCCGAUAUCAGAUUAGGUAGUUGGUGGGGUAAAGGCUCACCAAGCCAACGAUCUGUAGCUGGUCUGAGAGGACGACCAGCCACACUGGAACUGAGACACGGUCCAGACUCCUACGGGAGGCAGCAGUGGGGAAUUUUGGACAAUGGACGCAAGUCUGAUCCAGCCAUUCCGCGUGCAGGAUGAAGGCCCUCGGGUUGUAAACUGCUUUUGUACGGAACGAAAAGGUCUCUAUUAAUACUAGGGGCUCAUGACGGUACCGUAAGAAUAAGCACCGGCUAACUACGUGCCAGCAGCCGCGGUAAUACGUAGGGUGCAAGCGUUAAUCGGAAUUACUGGGCGUAAAGCGUGCGCAGGCGGUUAUGUAAGACAGAGGUGAAAUCCCCGGGCUCAACCUGGGAACUGCCUUUGUGACUGCAUAGCUAGAGUACGGUAGAGGGGGAUGGAAUUCCGCGUGUAGCAGUGAAAUGCGUAGAUAUGCGGAGGAACACCGAUGGCGAAGGCAAUCCCCUGGACCUGUACUGACGCUCAUGCACGAAAGCGUGGGGAGCAAACAGGAUUAGAUACCCUGGUAGUCCACGCCCUA
rnacentral:rRNA from 1 species